AUUGAACGCUGGCGGCAUGCUUUACACAUGCAAGUCGAACGGUAACAGGCCGCAAGGUGCUGACGAGUGGCGAACGGGUGAGUAAUGCAUCGGAACGUGCCCAGUCGUGGGGGAUAACGCAGCGAAAGCUGUGCUAAUACCGCAUACGAUCUGUGGAUGAAAGCGGGGGACCGAAAGGCCUCGCGCGAUUGGAGCGGCCGAUGUCAGAUUAGGUAGUUGGUGGGGUAAAGGCUCACCAAGCCAACGAUCUGUAGCUGGUCUGAGAGGACGACCAGCCACACUGGGACUGGGACACGGCCCAGACUCCUACGGGAGGCAACAGUGGGGAAUUUUGGACAAUGGGCGCAAGCCUGAUCCAGCAAUGCCGCGUGCAGGAAGAAGGCCUUCGGGUUGUAAACUGCUUUUGUACGGAGCGAAAAGGCUCUCUCUAAUACAGGGGGCUCAUGACGGUACCGUAAGAAUAAGCACCGGUUAACUACGUGCCAGCAGCCGCGGUAAUAC
rnacentral:rRNA from 1 species